GGCACUGUUGCAAGUCAGCCAGCGUGGCUCAGAAAUGGUCUCCAUUUGAGACAGAAAAAGCAUUCCCACGAGCCACCACGAUAGACUUCUUUGUGGGGAAACCAUUGAGUCUUACUUAGUAUUUCACCAGUUUGAACCUCACCAGUUCCCGUAGGCAUGGGACUCAGAGGCCCUCUCUGACCAGCACUGGGGUGGGGCAGGUCAUUCACUGGAGUCAGCUUCAGAGAGCUGCUGGGCUGCCUUCAGGUGUGAGUAUGUUGUCAGCUGCUCCCUCUCAUGGCCGCCUGGGGCUGGGCAGCCCCACCCUUCUCCAAGACACUCUCCUGUCUCACACACUGGUUCCAAUUGUCUAGCCUUGUCUGUGUGGCUGGCUGCUCACUUUUUCGUGGGAGUUUUUAGGCUCCCACUUGAGUUUUUCUGUGAGUCCUCCUAGCCUGUCUCUGAUGUUAGGUCAUCUCACCUCACAGUCAUCCUCUGCUGAGUGUCCUGACUCCCCUAAGUAUGGCAACUCUGGAUGUAAAUAAGAACACGCCUCUGUACAAGUAUUUUUGUGAAAAAUGUAACUUGUUAGUGUAACUAAAGUAUGAUGACGUUAAGAAUACUUGUGAAAAAAUUAAAAUAUUUCCUCUUUGUUUUUGCUUCACACUUAAGAA
rnacentral:lncRNA from 1 species